rnacentral:rRNA from 1 species
GCGGUGAAGUCAGACCGGAAGGACUGGUGGAGCGCUUAGAAGUGAGAAUGCCGGUAUGAGUAGCGAAAGAAGGGUGAGAAUCCCUUCCACCGAAUAUCUAAGGUUUCCUGAGGAAGGCUCGUCCGCUCAGGGUUAGUCGGGACCUAAGCCGAGGCCGAUAGGCGUAGGCGAUGGACAACAGGUAGAGAUUCCUGUACCAGUGCUAAUUGUUUAACCGAUGGGGUGACACAGAAGGAUAGGGAAUCGCACGAAUGGAAAUGUGCGUCCAAGCAGUGAGUGUGAGAAGUAGGCAAAUCCGCUUCUCGCGAAGCAUGAGCUGUGAUGGGGAAGGAAAUUAAGUACGGAAGUUCCUGAUUUCACGCUGUCAAGAAAAGCCUCUAGGAAGAGUAGUACUGCCCGUACCGCAAACCGACACAGGUAGAUGAGGAGAGAAUCCUAAGGUGAGCGAGAGAACUCUCGUUAAGGAACUCGGCAAAAUGACCCCGUAACUUCGGGAGAAGGGGUGCUCUAUUAGGGUGCAAGCCCGAGAGAGCCGCAGUGAAUAGGCCCAGGCGACUGUUUAGCAAAAACACAGGUCUCUGCAAAACCGUAAGGUGACGUAUAGGGGCUGACGCCUGCCCGGUGCUGGAAGGUUAAGAGGAGUGCUUAGCUUCGGCGAAGGUACGAAUUGAAGCCCCAGUAAACGGCGGCCGUAACUAUAACGGUCCUAAGGUAGCGAAAUUCCUUGUCGGGUAAGUUCCGACCCGCACGAAAGGCGCAACGAUCUGGGCACUGUCUCAACGAGAGACUCGGUGAAAUUAUAGUACCUGUGAAGAUGCAGGUUACCCGCGACAGGACGGAAAGACCCCGUGGAGCUUUACUGCAACCUGAUAUGGAAUGUUUGUACCGCUUGUACAGGAUAGGUAGGAGCCGAAGAGACGUGUGCGCUAGCAUACGAGGAGGCAAUGGUGGGAUACUACCCUGGCUGUAUGACCAUUCUAACCCGCCACGCUUAGCGCGUGGGGAGACAGUGUCAGGUGGGCAGUUUGACUGGGGCGGUCGCCUCCUAAAGAGUAACGGAGGCGCCCAAAGGUUCCCUC